rfam:Erwinia tracheiphila strain BuffGH Etrach_2, whole genome shotgun sequence.
CUAUAUUCCCCGUGCAGCCGCAAAAUCGGCUGCCGGGUGUAGCAACCCGGUAA